GGCGAACGGGUGAGUAACACGUGGGUGAUCUGCCCUGCACUUCGGGAUAAGCCUGGGAAACUGGGUCUAAUACCGGAUAGGAGCCAUUUUUAGUGUGAUGGCUGGAAAGUUUUUCGGUGUAGGAUGAGCUCGCGGCCUAUCAGCUUGUUGGUGGGGUAAUGGCCUACCAAGGCGGCGACGGGUAGCCGGCCUGAGAGGGUGGACGGCCACAUUGGGACUGAGAUACGGCCCAG
rnacentral:rRNA from 1 species